CAAUUUGCCUACUACCAAUGCAGUUUAACUGAUUUUACAUUGACUGAACAAGGUUGAUUUUAUUUAGGUCUAGUGAAAAUACUGAAGAAGUAUGACAAGAGAACAGGAGCACUUAUUAGGCAACCCUUCAUCGAAAAGGUGCUGCAGCAGCCAUUCUUUACAACUGAUCUCCUAUACAAACUCGUGAAGGAGUGUGUGGCUAUGCUCGACCACCUCUUCCCCAGCAACAACCUGUCAAUUUCAGCAGAAUGCGAUGGACAAAAUGGAGUGCCAAAGCCGGCACAAUCAAGUGGGAGGGUUCCGGAGUUGGAAGAGAUUAAAUAUAUGCAGAGCUUAUACAUGAAGAGCACCGUAGCAGUGCUGCGGUCCUUGAAACAGAUUAGGAGCAAAAGUUCAACAGUCAAAACAGAUUAGAAAAUCUCGUGCUAUAUUGUUCUACCUUUGUUUUAAUAGUGUUAUCAUUUUGUUGGUUGCUUAUGAAAUUUUAUUGGUUGCUUAUGAAAUUUCUUCAGAAUGUUAUAGAUAUUAUUUUUUAAUGUUA